rnacentral:rRNA from 1 species
AAGUUUGAUCUUGGCUCAGGAUGAACGCUAGCGGCAGGCCUAAUACAUGCAAGACGAACGGUAACUAGAGUAGCAAUACUUUGGCUAGAGUGUCGUAAGGGUGCGUAACACGUAUGCAACCUACCCUGUACAGGAGUAUAGCUCCCCGAAAGGGGAAUUAACCCUCCAUAAUAUCACGAGAGGGCAUCUGAUUGUGAUUAAAACUGAGGUGGUACAGGAUGGGCAUGCGUCUGAUUAGCUAGUUGGCGGGGUAACGGCCCACCAAGGCGAUGAUCAGUAGGGGACCUGAGAGGGUGAUCCCCCACACUGGGCACUGAGAUACGGGCCAGACUCCUACGGGAGGCAGCAGUAGGGAAUAUUGGACAAUGGGUGAGAGCCUGAUCCAGCCAUGCCGCGUGCAGGAAGACGGCCUUCCGGGUUGUAAACUGCUUUUAUCUGGGGAUAAAAAGGGGGUGCGCCCCCAACUGAAGGUACCAGAUGAAUAAGCCACGGCUAACUACGUGCCAGCAGCCGCAGUAAC